CGGGGUGGAGUAAUGUCUGGGAAACUGCCUGAUGAGGGGGGAUAACUGCUGGAAACGGUAGCUAAUACCGCAUAACGUCGCAAGACCAAAGAGGGGGACCUUCGGGCCUCUUGCCAUCGGAUGUGCCCAGAUGGGAUUAGCUAGUAGGUGGGGUAACGGCUCACCUAGGCGACGAUCCCUAGCUGGUCUGAGAGGAUGACCAGCCACACUGGAACUGAGACACGGUCCAG
rnacentral:rRNA from 1 species